UACGGGGGGGGCAAGCGUUGUUCGGAAUUACUGUGCGUAAAGGGCUCGUAGGCGGCCAACUAAGUCAGACGUGAAAUCCCUCGGCUUAACCGGGGAACUGCGUCUGAUACUGGAUGGCUUGAGUUUGGGAGAGGGAUGCGGAAUUCCAGGUGUAGCGGUGAAAUGCGUAGAUAUCUGGAGGAACACCGGUGGCGAAGGCGGCAUCCUGGACCAACACUGACGCUGAGUGAGCGAAAGCCAGGGGAGCAAACGGG
rnacentral:rRNA from 1 species